rnacentral:rRNA from 1 species
UACAGAGGAGCCAAGCGUUGUCCGGAUUGACUGGGCGUAAAGCGCACGCAGGACGGACGCGCGCGUGGGGUGUGAAAUCUGGCCGCGUUAACGGCCAGGCGCCAUCCCAUACGGCCGCGUCUGGAGUGAUGCAGAGGUCGGUGGAAUUGCCGGUGUAGUGGUGAAAUGCGUAGAGAGUCGGCAGGAACACCCAGGGGGAAACCAGUGGACUGGCACGGGUGCUGACGCUCAGGUGCGAAAGCGUGG